rnacentral:rRNA from 1 species
UGGGGAAUAUUGGACAAUGGGCGAAAGCCUGAUCCAGCCAUGCCGCGUGUGUGAAGAAGGUCUUCGGAUUGUAAAGCACUUUAAGUUGGGAGGAAGGGCAGUAAAUUAAUACUUUGCUGUUUUGACGUUACCGACAGAAUAAGCACCGGCUAACUCUGUGCCAGCAGCCGCGGUAAUACAGAGGGUGCAAGCGUUAAUCGGAAUUACUGGGCGUAAAGCGCGCGUAGGUGGGUAGUUAAGUUGGAUGUGAAAUCCCCGGGCUCAACCUGGGAACUGCAUUCAAAACUGACGAGCUAGAGUAUGGUAGAGGGUGGUGGAAGUUCCUGUGUAGCGGUGAAAUGCGUAGAUAUAGGAAGGAACACCAGUGGCGAAGGCGACCACCUGGACUGAUACUGACACUGAGGUGCGAAAGCGUGGGGAGCAAACA